GCUUAGGAAUCUGCCUAUUAGUGGGGGACAACAUUCCGAAAGGGAUGCUAAUACCGCAUACGUCCUACGGGAGAAAGCAGGGGAUCUUCGGACCUUGCGCUAAUAGAUGAGCCUAAGUCGGAUUAGCUAGUUGGUGGGGUAAAGGCCUACCAAGGCGACGAUCUGUAGCGGGUCUGAGAGGAUGAUCCGCCACACUGGGACUGAGACACGGCCCAGACUCCUACGGGAGGCAGCAGUGGGGAAUAUUGGACAAUGGGGGGAACCCUGAUCCAGCCAUGCCGCGUGUGUGAAGAAGGCCUUAUGGUUGUAAAGCACUUUAAGCGAGGAGGAGGCUACUGAGACUAAUACUCUUGGAUAGUGGACGUUACUCGCAGAAUAAGCACCGGCUAACUCUGUGCCAGCAGCCGCGGUAAUACAGAGGGUGCGAGCGUUAAUCGGAUUUACUGGGCGUAAAGCGUGCGUAGGCGGCUUUUUAAGUCGGAUGUGAAAUCCCUGAGCUUAACUUGGGAAUUGCAUUCGAUACUGGGAAGCUAGAGUAUGGGAGAGGAUGGUAGAAUUCCAGGUGUAGCGGUGAAAUGCGUAGAGAUCUGGAGGAAUACCGAUGGCGAAGGCAGCCAUCUGGCCUAAUACUGACGCUGAGGUACGAAAGCAUGGGGAGCA
rnacentral:rRNA from 1 species